AGGCGCCGAGGUUGUAGCUCGGGGAUACAUCACUCGGGCUCUUAAUAAAACACUAUGGAUUAAAGAGUGUAAGAUUUCGAGUGUGUACGCUUUCAAUCGGUAAUAAUUGAAAGGAUAAUUUCAUCCGUGCUCCUAGUUGGGUCACACUCGACAGGUUUGCCCCUAAUUUCUCAAAACACGCGGUUUUGCCCAGCUUACUUCAGUCGCCAUGUGUUUUUGCCCUUCCGUCACGUUUCCAUCUAGUUAGUGUUGUUUGACCGUGUGUUGACCAUCUUUGGACUUUUCACUCGACCAUUUUACCCCUGCUUCCUUGCUCUCUCAGUAGACACUUUCAGGUGGGACACUUCAUUGAGUAGCUAGAGCCUCCCGAUCCAGAGCCGACGCUGAAGCUCGCCUGAGCCAAAGGAGUCGGAGCUGGAGCCUCCUGAUCCAGAGCCACCGCACCCUGCCGCAUCUACCUCGCCGGAGACCACCAUCGGAGGACGCCAUGGCCGCCGCCACUACCGGGAACCGACCGGAUCCGACCGCUUCGACCUGGAUCCGGGCUCCCACGCCUUCCUCGGCCCGCCUCCAUGCCUCAUCGGAGCCCGCCGCCUCGCCGUUCACCGCGCCCUUCGGCCUGCCACCGCUGCAUGCUCGAGGAGGACGAGAUCCACAACGAGUGCCUUGCCCGGUUGACCCGCGUGCGGCCUCGCCUAAGUGCCAGGCUCAGCCGCAUCGCCCGUCGGUCGCACACACGCUGCUCCCUCCAUACGUUGUCGGGACCUCCAGGGUUGUCGCGUCGUCUGCCUCCACCCGGCCCAAGGCCGAUCCGCUCCGGCCUCCACCUCGCCCCGCCGGUGUCGCUGCACGCACCAGCUCCACUCCAGCCUCGGUCUCGCCCCGCCCGCGGUCGCGCGCCCGCACGCUUCCCUCUACGCUUUGUCUCCAUGCACCGGCUGCCUCACCAUGCUCGCCAAAUCCUCCUCACAGACCAUACCUGUGCCGGCAGUGAUGGUUUUCUUAGUGAUGGGUCCCACUUGCAGUGUCUCCCUAGAGAGUGAAGAACUAUGGGUAAAUAGUCCAACGAAAAGUCCACACACAGUCAAAACAUGAUCAAACGACACUAACUGGACGGAACCGUGAGAGAAGGGCAAAAACACAAGGCGACUGAAGUGAGCUGGGCAAAACCGUGUGUAUUUAAAAAUUACGGGCAAACCUGUUGAGUGUGACCCAACUAGGGGCACAGAUGCAAUUAUCCUAUAAUUGAAUACCUUUCGAAAAGGUAAAUUCAACAAUUCAAAUGAUCGCGAGCUUAGGGCUUCGAUCAUCCAAUCGGUGGAGUAGGACAGGUCCCACUCGCGCCAUGGUGCGGGCGAUAUGAUUCCCUUCUUGGGUUGUCUGAAUAUUUGUAGUCCCAUGGAAGGACGAUGAACAGGGUAUUCAGCUCCCCUCAUUAUGUGCUACGGAUACAUAAUCCAUUCGGGGAAUGAGGGGGGAGCGAAUUUUCCGUGA